rnacentral:misc_RNA from 1 species
AACGAGGCCGACCUGCGGCUGAGUUACCUGCGGAGGGAUCAUUACCAGGAAACGGUGCCUUCGGGUGCCGGUUCUCAAACCUCUGUAUACCAACCUUUCAGUUGCCUCCGGCGGCCCUGGGCCGGCGCGGCGCGUCCCCCUCUCCCCCCGUUCGCGGGAGGCUUGGGGGCCGCCCCCCCGCGCCGGACCACCCGCCGGGCGGUCAGAUACAAAACCUUUUGUUGAGAUGGCAUCGUCUAA